rnacentral:rRNA from 1 species
GAUUUCACACUGCCGAGAAAAGCCUCUAGAUAGAAAAUAGGUGCCCGUACCGCAAACCGACACAGGUAGUCAAGAUGAGAAUUCUAAGGUGAGCGAGCGAACUCUCGUUAAGGAACUCGGCAAAAUGACCCCGUAACUUCGGGAGAAGGGGUGCUCUUUAGGGUUAACGCCCAGAAGAGCCGCAGUGAAUAGGCCCAAGCGACUGUUUAUCAAAAACACAGGUCUCUGCUAAACCGUAAGGUGAUGUAUAGGGGCUGACGCCUGCCCGGUGCUGGAAGGUUAAGAGGAGUGGUUAGCUUCUGCGAAGCUACGAAUCGAAGCCCCAGUAAACGGCGGCCGUAACUAUAACGGUCCUAAGGUAGCGAAAUUCCUUGUCGGGUAAGUUCCGACCCGCACGAAAGGCGUAACGAUUUGGGCACUGUCUCAACGAGAGACUCGGUGAAAUCAUAGUACCUGUGAAGAUGCAGGUUACCCGCGACAGGACGGAAAGACCCCGUGGAGCUUUACUGUAGCCUGAUAUUGAAAUUCGGCACAGCUUGUACAGGAUAGGUAGGAGCCUUUGAAACGUGAGCGCUAGCUUACGUGGAGGCGCUGGUGGGAUACUACCCUAGCUGUGUUGGCUUUCUAACCCGCACCACUUAUCGUGGUGGGAGACAGUGUCAGGCGGGCAGUUUGACUGGGGCGGUCGCCUCCUAAAAGGUAACGGAGGCGCUCAAAGGUUCCCUCAGAAUGGUUGGAAAUCAUUCAUAGAGUGUAAAGGCAUAAGGGAGCUUGACUGCGAGACCUACAAGUCGAGCAGGGUCGAAAGACGGACUUAGUGAUCCGGUGGUUCCGCAUGGAAGGGCCAUCGCUCAACGGAUAAAAGCUACCCCGGGGAUAACAGGCUUAUCUCCCCCAAGAGUUCACAUCGACGGGGAGGUUUGGCACCUCGAUGUCGGCUCAUCGCAUCCUGGGGCUGUAGUCGGUC